CAUUUCCCAAAUAGUGAAAACGGCUCAGACCAGUUUGAACCAGUUCAUUAAACGGGCCCUGAAGCACUUUUUGAACAUAAAAACAUUGCCAAUCUGUACAAGAGGCUCCUGUGAACAUGUGAGCCAAAUAUUAUUGCACUGCAUCGAGCAGGGAAUUUACAAUCUCUUGUUGACAACAGCGAAAAGCAGGUUGCUCUUGCUUUUGCAAUGUCCUCAUGCAGCAUCAGCACAAGCAGCUGGACCCACCUACAGCUAUUGGCUAAUUUCAUGAUAUGAGAACAUUCUCAGUAAUACAUAAUUGCUAAUUUUGAUUUAAAUAAAUUAAACAAAUUUAUAUAUGCAAUCUCAAGAAGC
rnacentral:lncRNA from 1 species